GCUACUACCGAUAGAAUGGUUUAGCGAGAUGCUCGGAUCGGGCCCAGCUCGUGCGAAAGCAUGUGCCGGGACUGAGAAGAAGUUCAAGCUUGAUCAUUUAGAGGAAGUAAAAGUCGUAACAAGGUUUUCGUAGGUGAACCUGCAGAAGGAUCAAGAUCGGAAGAGCGCGUCGUAGGGAAAGAGUGUAUAUCUCUGUGGGCGCGGUAUCAUUAUAAAAAAAAACGAAAAGUGAGGAGAACGAAGAUCAUACUCAAGAGACAAGAAGAGAUGGGAACGG
rnacentral:misc_RNA from 1 species